GUCAGGGGAUUCGAAAACCCCCAAAUAAGAAAAAGGUUUUUUGUUUUUUUGGGAAGAAGAAAAGAAAAGGAAGCCAAGUUUCGUUUGAAUUUCGAACAACAAGUCAUCGAUCUUCUCUCUUCUCUGAUUGUGUGUGUGAUGGUGAAAUCCAAAGAGAAUGCUUCUGGUUCUUCUUCUGUGGCUCCAUUCCUUAACAAAUGUUACGACAUGGUGGAGGACGAUUCCACCGACUCCAUCAUCUCCUGGACCGAACCCUCCGGCCACACCUUCGUCAUCUCCGACAUCACCGCUUUCUCCGUCACCCUCCUCCCUACCUAUUUCAAACACAACAAUUUCGCCAGCUUCAUCCGCCAACUCAACAUCUAUGGUUUCAGGAAAGUCGAUACGGAUCGCUGGGAAUUUGCGAAUGAAAACUUUGUUAGGGGUCAAAAGCAUUUGCUGAAGAAUAUACGCAGAAGGAAACACCCGCACGUUACGGAUCAACAAAAAGCAUUGCCGGAGCAUAACAAUUCUGAUGAACCGUCACGAGAAGCACCUAAUCAUGGCCUUCGCAAAGAAGUUGAGAAUCUGAAAUCCGAUAGAAAUUCCCUCAUGCAGGAGCUGGUCCAUCUCAGUCAGCACCUGGAAUCUGCUGAGAGUAAGAUGCUUGUCCUGAGUGAUCGCCUUCAAGGAAUGGAGAAGCAUCAGCAGCAGAUGUUGUCAUUCUUAGUCAUGGUAGUGCAGAGCCCUGGGUUCAUGGUUCAGCUGCUUCAUCCGAAGGAAAAUAGCUGGCGCUUGGCUGAAGCAGGGAACAUGUUUGACCCUGGUAAGGAAGAUGACAAACCGGUUGCUUCUGAUGGGAUGAUUGUACAGUACAAACCACCUGUAGGUGAAAAAAGAAAGCAUGUAAUUCCAAUUCCAUUAUCUCCUGGUUUUGAUAGGCAGCCAGAACCUGAGCUUUCUGCAGAUAGGUUAAAAGACUUGUGCAUCAGUUCAGAGUUCUUGAAAGUGCUUCUGGAUGAAAAAGUGUCUCCACUAGAUAAUCAUUCUCCAUUUCUUCUUCCAGAUUUACCGGAUGAUGGCUCCUGGGAACAGCUUUUUCUAGGUAGUCCUUUCCUGGAAAACAUUGAAGAUACUGAUCAUGAAAAUGAGGAGCCUACUGUUGGUGGAAUGGAGAUGGAAGCCACUAUACCAGAAACUCCAAAUGAACAUUCUCGGAUUUUUGAGUCAAUGAUUAUGGAAAUGGAGAAAACUCAAGUGUAAGUUGGAAUUAUAUGCUUAUGGGGAUAAUUUGGAGGGGCCGUAGAGCUUGGAAUCUCAAAUUGAGCAAAUGGAACUUGUAGCCUCUAAAACUAACUAGAUAGAGGCAAGGAAGUAAUAAUUUCCAGCAGAUCUUUUUCAGCUGGGCUAUCUUCACUGAUUAUCUCGUGCUGUAGUUAUAGAAUUAAGUCACAAUAUAAGUUUUUUCUCUUCCAUCUUCCUGCAGCGGUGAUCUGUAAUCAGUAUCUUUGGCAUCUUGAUAUGGUGCCCAACUCCUUGGAGUUAUAUGGCCUUGUGCCUACCUCUGCAUGAUAGGUCAAAUAUUUCUUAUGAAAAGCAGCCUCAAGGAGCUUUAUCUUUUGUGCCUAGUUAAGCAGUUACAAAUGACUUCAUAUAUGUUAUAAAGUUCUCAUGCAAUUCACAGAAAUCAUGGUUUCUUGACAUAUUAUUGCAUCA